AUUCUUUGCUGCCAAGGCAAAUCAAAUGACAGCAGAACCCUCCAAGAGUGCCUGACGAAUUCCCAACAAAUUAGCAGCUAGCAAGCCUUUUGAAAGAAAUAGAUGCAGCAAUUGCACCACUAAAGAUCUCUCUAAAUGGAGUGGUACUGAAGAUGAAUUUGAUUCAUGGUUUUCAAUACAAUCAACAAGAAAGAGCUGAAGGAAAAAAAAAAAAGAAUUAGCUGAAGAAGAAAAAAAUGGUGUGCGUACAACCUGCAAAUGGGAUUCCACUCUAGUCCACAGCUUCCAGAAUGUUCUGGGAAUCAAUCAGAAUACCAUCUAGAAUAUCUGUGUUCCUUGUAAUAAAUCUUGGCAUUUAAUAAGUCAA